rnacentral:rRNA from 1 species
GACGAACGCUGGCGGCGUGCUUAACACAUGCAAGUCGAACGCUGAAGCUCAGCUUUUGUUGGGUGGGUGAGUGGCGAACGGGUGAGUAACACGAGAGUAACCUGCCUCCUUCUUUGGGAUAACGCCCGGAAACGGGUGCUAAUACUGGAUAUUCACUGGUCUUCGCAUGGGGGUUGGUGGAAAGGGUUUAUCUGGUGGGGGAUGGGCUCGCGGCCUAUCAGCUUGUUGGUGGGGUGAUGGCCUACCAAGGCUUUGACGGGUAGCCGGCCUGAGAGGGUGACCGGUCACAUUGGGACUGAGAUACGGCCCAGACUCCUACGGGAGGCAGCAGUGGGGAAUAAUGCACAAUGGGCGCAAGCCUGAUGCAGCGACGCCGCGUGAGGGAUGGAGGCCUUCGGGUUGUGAACCUCUUUCGCUCAUGGUCAAGCCGCAACAAUGGUUGUGGUGAGGGUAGUGGGUAAAGAAGCGCCGGCUAACUACGUG